GUCUAUGGUCAUACUUCCCUGAAUGCACCCAAUCUUGUCUGAUUUCUGAAGCUAAGCAGGGUCAGGCCUGGUUAGUACUUGGACGGGAAGAAAUGGACUCAAUCAGUU
rfam:TPA: Bos taurus chromosome 5, whole genome shotgun sequence.